rnacentral:rRNA from 1 species
CCCACUGUCGUUGAAAAGCCAGGGGAUGACUUGUGGAUAGGAGUGAAAGGCUAAUCAAACUCGGAGAUAGCUGGUUCUCCUCGAAAGCUAUUUAGGUAGCGCCUCGUGUAUCACCAUAGGGGGUAGAGCACUGUUUGGGCUAGGGGGUCAUCCCGACUUACCAACCCCAUGCAAACUCCGAAUACCUAUGAGUGCGAGCACGGGAGACACACUGCGGGUGCUAACGUCCGUUGUGGAGAGGGCAACAACCCAGACCGCCAGCUAAGGUCCCAAAUUCAUAGUUAAGUGGGAAACGAUGUGGGAAGGCUUAGACAGCUAGGAGGUUGGCUUAGAAGCAGCCAUCCUUUAAAGAAAGCGUAAUAGCUCACUAGUCGAGUCGGCCUGCGCGGAAGAUUUAACGGGGCUCAAACUAUGAACCGAAGCUGCGGAUAUAGAUUUAUCUAUAUGGUAGAGGAGCGUUCUGUAAGCCGUUGAAGGUGAAUCGAGAGGUUUGCUGGAGGUAUCAGAAGUGCGAAUGCUGACAUGAGUAACGAUAAGGGGAGUGAAAAACUUCCCCGCCGGAAGACCAAGGGUUCCUGCGCAACGCUAAUCGGCGCAGGGUGAGUCGGCCCCUAAGGCGAGGCUGAGAAGCGUAGUCGAUGGGAAACAGGUUAAUAUUCCUGUACUUCUUUAUAUUGCGAUGGAGAGACGGAGAAAGCUAGGCCAGCAUGGCGAUGGUUGUCCAUGUUUAAGGUUGUAGGCUGGGGGAUUAGGCAAAUCCGGUCCCCUAAGGCUGAGAACUGAUGACGAGAUCCUACGGGAUUGAAGUGGUUGAUGCUCUGCUUCCAGGAAAAACUUCUAAGCUUCAGAUAUAAAGAAACCGUACCCCAAACCGACACAGGUGGUCAGGUAGAGAAUACCAAGGCGCUUGAGAGAACUCGGGUGAAGGAACUAGGCAAAAUGGUACCGUAACUUCGGGAGAAGGUACGCUGCUGCCGGUGAUGGGACUUGCUCCCUAAGCUAGCGGCAGUCGAAGAUACCAGUUAGCUGC